UACCCGCACCCCGAGUGGUCGGGACGUUUAUUGGGCCUAAAGCAUCCGUAGCCGGUUCUACAAGUCUUCCGUUAAAUCCAACUGCUUAACAGGUGGGCUGCGGAAGAUACUAUAGAGCUAGGAGGCGGGAGAGGCAAGCGGUACUCGAUGGGUAGGGGUAAAAUCCGUUGAUCCAUUGAAGACCACCAGUGGCGAAGGCGGCUUGCCAGAACGCGCUCGACGGUGAGGGAUGAAAGCUGGGGGAGCAAACCGG
rnacentral:rRNA from 1 species